rnacentral:rRNA from 1 species
UACGGGGGGGGCAAGCGUUGUUCGGAAUUACUGGGCGUAAAGGGCUCGUAGGCGGCCGCUUAAGUCAGACGUGAAAUCCCUCGGCUCAACCGGGGCACUGCGUCUGAGACUGAAUGGCUUGAAUCCGGGAGAGGGAUGCGGAAUUCCAGGUGUAGCGGUGAAAUGCGUAGAUAUCUGGAGGAACACCGGUGGCGAAGGCGGCAUCCUGGAC